UACGGAGGAUGCAAGCGUUGUCCGGAAUUAUUGGGCGUAAAGCGUCCGUAGGUGGUUAAGUAAGUCUGCUGUUAAAGCGUGGAGCUUAACUCCAUAUCGGCAGUGGAAACUACUUGACUUGAGUGCGGUAGGGGUCAGGGGAAUUCCCAGUGUAGAGGUGAAAGGCGUAGAUAUUGGGAAGAACACCGGUGGCGAAAGAGGCUGACCGGGCCUGCACUGACAAUCAGGGACGAAAGCUAGGGGAGCGAAAGGG
rnacentral:rRNA from 1 species